rnacentral:rRNA from 1 species
CCCUUAGAUGUUCUGGGCCGCACGCGUGCUACACUGAGUGGAUCAGCGGGUCAGGUUGCGCGAAAGUGUUUCCUAAUCUUUAAAUCCGCUCGUGAUGGGGAUUGACGGUUGCAAUUUUCCGUCAUGAAAGAGGAAUACCUUGUAAGCGCGGGUCAUCAUCCCGCGCUGAAUACGUCCCUGCCCUUUGUACACACCGCCCGUCGCUCCUACCGAUUGAGUGGUCCGGUGAGGCUUUGGGAUCUGAGCGGAAAGAGCGUUUCGCUGUUUCUGCCCGGAAAACUCAGUCGAACCUUAUCAUUUAGAGGAAGGAGAAGUCGUAACA